UACAGAGGGUGCUAGCGUUGUUCGGAAUCAUUGGGCGUAAAGGGCGUGUAGGCGGUUUGUUAAGUCAUGUGUGAAAUCCCUCGGCUCAACCGGGGAAGGACGCAUGAAACUGGCAGCUAGAGUACCAAAGAGGGGGGUGGAGUUCCCGGUGUAGCGGUGGAAAUGCGUAGAUAUCGGGAGGAACACCUGUGGCGAAGGCGGCCCCCUGGUUGGAUACUGACGCUGAUACGCGAAAGCGUGGGGAGCAAACAGG
rnacentral:rRNA from 1 species